GCCCAGAUAGCUCAGUGGUAGAGCACUUCCUUGGUAAGGAAGAGGUCUCGGGUUCAAAUCCCGAUCUGGGCUCCA
rnacentral:tRNA from 1 species